rnacentral:rRNA from 1 species
UACGGAGGAUGCGAGCGUUAUCCGGAUUUAUUGGGCGUAAAGCGAGCGCAGGUGGUUUAUUAAGUCUGGUGUAAAAGGCAGUGGCUCAGCCAUUGUAUGCAUUGGAAACUGGUAGACUUGAGUGCAGGAGAGGAGAGUGGAAUUCCAUGUGUAGCGGUGAAAUGCGUAGAUAUAUGGAGGAACACCGGUGGCGAAAGCGGCUCUCUGGCCUGUAACUGACACUGAGGCUCGAAAGCGUGGGGAGCAAACAGG